UGCCAGCCGCCGCGGUAAUACGGAGGGUGCAAGCGUUGUUCGGAAUUAUUGGGCGUAAAGCGCGUGUAGGCGGUUCGUUAAGUCUGAUGUGAAAGCCCGGGGCUCAACCCCGGAAGUGCAUUGGAAACUGGCGAACUUGAGUACGGGAGAGGAAAGUGGAAUUCCGAGUGUAGGGGUGAAAUCCGUAGAUAUUCGGAGGAACACCAGUGGCGAAGGCGGCUUGCUUAGCGACAACUGACACUAAUGCACGAAAACGUGGGUAGCGAACAGGAUUAGAUA
rnacentral:rRNA from 1 species